AUUGCAGGGCUUAUUUGAUUUUUGCUGGAUAUUGAAGUGUUGUUGAGUUAGAUGUUGCAUUUACCCAUCCAAUGAGUCUUUUCCUUUUCCAGCCAAGGCUCAAGGCUGAUUCAUACCGUUCUUUCCGUGUCCUACCUCUGCAGGGCUUAGUCACCAUGACAAUUUUGGAUUCCACUGCAAGAUAUUCGUCAUCUGGAGUCUGUGCACUCCAUCUAGUCACGUCUACCUUUUGCUCAACUUCACCACUGCUGGGAUGCACUGGAAAUGGACUCGAUAAGGUAAUAGAGUGCUUUUAGGAUGAUUCUGUAUAUAUUUUUACAUGUGCAGGCCUUUUCAAUGUGUUUCAUGGACCUUGCUUCCUACUGUGGCAGCCUUAAAAAUGCUUAGUGUUGUAUUCUGGUCCAGUGUCCGAUGCUACAGAUAAAGCCGCAAGGCUGGAAGCUCAUAGGCAGCUCCAGGUCAGCAACUUGCUCUGGCAAAGUUUGGGAGCAGACUGAUGCCUUUUCAGCUUAUGUUUCUAGACCACCUCCUCCAGGCUCCACCCCCUUGAGAGAACUUCCGUGCCUUAAAGGGCCAGCUCUGGCCUGACGACAGCAUUCCUCCUCUGUUCUAUAGCCUGAUAUGCUCCCUCCGCCAGGGGACUGCUGACAUGUGGUGGGAGGCAUCUGUUUCUUCGGGGAGAGAUGUCUGUGAAGGUCUAGUCUCUGGCCCUAUAGGCCCUGGGAAGGUCCUCUGGGGUGUGCUGUCCAACUGCCUCAGGUGCAAUGGUCAUCUUCAUGCCCAGUCGUCAGCUCUGAGCUGUGAACCUGAGCUGUCUAUCCCUUGGGUGCACCUGUAGCUGCCAACUCAGUGCUCGAUUCAGCGGUCACGACAUUUGGAAAAUGGAGGAUUGACCAGGGGCACAAUUUGACGCAAAGGGCACAAGUACAGUCAUACCUCGGGAUAAAUACGCUUCAGGAUAAGUAUUUUCAGGUUGCGCUCCACGGCGACCCAGAAGUAACUUCCAGGUUUCGCCGCUCGCGCAUGCGCAGACGGUCAAAAUGACAUCAUGCGCAUGCAUGGAAGUGGCGAAAUGCGACCCACACAUGCGCAGACGCACUGUCGCGUCUUACGUUCCGUUCGGGAUGCAAACGGGGCUCCGGAACGGAUCCCGUUUGCAUCCCGAGGUACCACUGUACCCAUAUUGCACGAAAAAUAAUAGAUGCGUCUCAACAUCCAGUUCCUAAAUAGAUGGAACUGGCCAUCAGUCUUGGAAAUGUGCUCCCAGAAGAAAAAAUAAUUAGUAAAUAGCAAUCCUCUUGCUGCUACCGAAGUGCCUGGAGCAAAGUUGGGGAACCUGUGGCGCUCCUCUGGGGAGGGCCUUAGCCCUGUUUUGUAGGCAUAGGUCCUUGGUUCAAUUCCUGGCAUCUCCAGGUAGGGCCAUUCCUAUCUCAAAACGCCGCUGCCAGUCAAGUACAGGCAGUUCUGAGCUAGAUAGACCAAUGGCCUGUCUCAGCAGAGGGCAGACUCUUGUGUUCCUAUGAUUUCCUAUCAGCCCUAGCCAGUGUUCCCGAUGGUGUGGGAUGAUGGGAGCUGUAGCCCAGCAAUGCCUGGAGGCCCACAGGCUCCCCAUCCCUGACCAACACUCUAGAGCAGCCGCUUGCUGAACAGCAUUUUCAGACUUCCUGCCUCCACCUGCAAUACUCCUUCCUCCAGAAGGCUUUUUAUGGAUCCGUCACCAUUCUCAUGAAAGGAUGCAGCCAGAGUUCUAUAACACUCCAUGCCAGAGACCCACCCAGCUUGGGUAUUUCUUUUUAUUUCGUUUCAACAGUAUAAUCACUGUGGCGUUGCAUGCAACUUGCAAUGGAAAUCUGCUUCAUAGCCCAGUUGGGAUAUUUACCUAGUUGUCGAUUCUCAUCUCGGUUGUGCACGGGUUCAGUUUCCACCUAUCUGUGGUAAAUAUGAUUAACGCCAGGGCUUUUUUCCCAGUUGGAACUCCAAUUCCGGCACCUCUCAGGUGGGCGCCAUUGCCAUGGUAAGAUAACAAGAGAGGUGAGUUCUGGCACCUCUUUUUUCCUAGAAAAGUUGUUGUUGUUGUUUAGUCGUGUCCGACUCUUCGUGACCCCAUGGACCAGAGCACGCCAGGCACUCCUGUCUUCCACUGCCUCCCGCAGUUUGGUCAAACUCAUGCUGGUAGCUUCAAGAACACUGUCCAACCAUCUCGUCCUCUGUCGUCCCCUUCUCCUUGUGCCCUCCAUCUUUCCCAGCAUCAGGGUCUUUUCCAGGGAGUCUUCUCUUCUCAUGAGGUAGCCAAAGUAUUGGAGCCUCGGCUUCACGAUCUGGCCUUCCAGUGAGCACUCAGGGCUGAUUUCCUUAAGAAUGGAUGCGUUUGAUCUUCUUGCAGUCCAUGGAACUCUCAAGAGUCUCCUCCAGCACCAUAAUUCAAAAGCAUCAAUUCUUCGGCGAUCAGCCUUCUUUAUGGUCCAGGUCUCACUUCCAUACAGCUCUCACUUCAAUAUAGCUCGUUUCUAGAGCCACUUAAUUGUUUAUAAGAAGAGUCCCCCGAGUAGGUAGAACCAGCAAGUGGUCCAGAUGUGCAGAGGUUCUCCUGAAGCAUUAGGCCUGAAACACAGGGGGAGGAUAACCCCCACCCCUUAAAAUGACUGACUGGCACGCAGGAGGAGAGGCCUACUGGAUCAGACUGAAGCUCCAUUCUUUCCAGCAACUUGUUUUCCAAAAUGGCCAGCCGCAAACUAUUUCCUCUGGACUCCAUACGAUCAGGGACCUGUGGGCCAGAAGUGGACUAAUGAGAUGCAAUACCUUCUCUGGCCAUUGGGUGGGUGGCACUGCAGCACAGCAGAUCUCAGGUCAGUGGCUCCCUCUCCCUGACAUCUUGCCCCAGUGAUGUAGUGAGUAAGACCUUGGGACUAUGCUGGUUGAAAUCCUCUCCCCGUGCCUUCCAUAUAGUGCUGAUAGGCUGGCCAUAGAAAGGCCUAUGAGUGUCUAAUCCUGUUUGAAGUCAUCUAAGCUAGCGACCGCCACCACAUCUUUGUGAGUUUCACAAACUGGUUACGCAUCUUGUGAAGAAGUACUUGCUUUUGGCUUCCGCCAGUCAGUUUCCUUGGGUGCCCUGGGAUCUAGUACCACAAGGGAGAAGAACUUCUCUCUAUCACCUUUCUUCAUCUGCGCAUAAUUUUCAUGGAACUGCAAGGUGGGAAUUCAAAAUCCAAUAGCGAAUUAACUAGAUCUGUAGUGAUGGGAAGCUCCUAUUGAGUACCAAUCUGAAAUAUUUAAACUGACACACACACACACAUAUAUAUUAAAGAGCUAUUGAAUUUGGUGGGGCUUAUUCUCAGGUAAAUGGAAUUAGGAUUGCAGCCUAAGUAACUCGUAACUUUUAUAGACUGCAUUCCUGUACGUACUUAACUAGGAAUAAGCCGUGUUGAAACUCACUGGGACUCACUUCUGGGUAAGCAUGUAUAGUGUUGCACUUUUUGGCUGUGUGUGAUGUGCCUCAUUGGUGUGGCAGGUGAGGAAGAUUCAAGGACAAUCAAAGAAACAGUUGAACAUUAGUAUAGUAUCAUAUAGUAUAGUAUAGUAUAGUAUAGUAUAGUAUAGUAUAGUCUAGUAUAGUAAUCUAUCUAUCUGUCAUCUAUCUAUCUAUCUAAUCUAUCUGCACACACACACACACACACACACACACACACACAUACGUACGUACACAACUGGAAAUAAUAUCCAUGCCUUCAAGAGCAUGGGCUAUUCUUCUACAAUUCCCCACAUCAAAUUGUUGUGAACAGGGAUUUUCAACUCUGACAAAUACGAAAGCUCAGAAAAGAGAAAGACUUCUUUGUGUUAAUGAGGAGAUGAGAGCUUGUUUGUCUCAAAUUAGACCUAAUAUAAAUGAGAUUACCUGGCAAAAGCAAGCUCAUACCUCUCAUUGGGUCUGUCUGUAUAAAUACUUAAGGUACAUAUGUAAGAGGCUUGUUCCUAAUUAUAUUUCGGGAAUGAUUCACAUUCUUAUGUGGCGGCACUGUUAUAUACUUUAUGGAUGAUCAUGGGUUAUAUACCCAUGAUCAUGAUCAUAUUGUAAAGUAGUUGUGUUCUGUGUUUUAAACCAAGCACUGCUGGGAGUUGUUUGUUUUUGUUUCCCAGUGUAUUUCUUACCAAUAAAAUAUUCAAUGUGGCGUGGGCAAAUUUUUAUUCUGAAAGUGUGGCCCAGAGAAAAAAGUUUUGAGAAACACUGCAGUAGUGGUGGCUUAAAGUUCAGUGAGGUAAUUUUAACACCCCACUACUUUUCAAUUCACAUUUUGCAUGCUGCUGUACACACCGGAGAGAGGAUGGGGAUGUCUUCACCUGAUGUGCAUUACCUAUUUAGUUUCCCUGCGCCUGCAACAAACUCCUAUGCACGAAAAUGUCCUAUGUGCACGUGCAAUGGCUGUGUCAAAGGUACACACCUUAGCUUGACUGCUAAGGGAAUGUGGCUUAUGAUUUCCGACCAGGUGGAAGCUGUUUUGAGGGAAAAUGCAUCAAACGGCAGUCUUUCUCCUGAAACUACAGGAUAGAUAUAGAUUGUGGCUAACAUCACGGCUACAACACCAGUAGGAGUUCACUGCAGCCAGAGUAAAGGGUAAUGCGUACAGAGGCUUAAUCGUUAUUUUCUGUUCCUCUGGUGCCUUUACAAGUCUUUAUUGGCCUUGUGGUAGGCCCAGCUGCUGUCCAUUUUAUGACCCAGCAGAAGAACAUUACGUUUUUGUGUUUGUAUACAAAGAAAAACCCACUUCAUGAUAAGGUAUUUUCAAGUUUACUUUAAAAUCCAGCUUAAUCUUCCAUUUGGUGGAAUGAAUGCCAGCCGCUACUGCAUCUCCUCAGCAUUCGAGGGACUGGGAAGUACCCAACUGCUUCAAAACAUUUUGGGGGGUCUCCCAAAUUAAUACAAAUAUGUGCCAAAAAAAGGUGAGUUAUGGAAUUUAUCUGCUACGCAGAGCGAUGGGCAAUAAGCAAAACAAAACAGCAAAGUCAGGGGGCUUGCACAACGCAACAUCUCCUUCGUCUCCUGUCAGCCCUUGCCCCAAACUCUAGAGCCCCACACAACCCUUGGAAGCUGAUUUCUGAAAGCACACAGGGGGCUGAAAAGGAGAGGAGGGCAAAGUUCCGUUUCGUUAGAGGAAGGCAGCCCAAAUGAAUUACCAAACGAUGCUUGAAUGAAGUGAUCGUGAAAAAUGUCAACGUAAUUUACCCGCGGAAAGCUACACUUGGGCACGGCACAGGAGCGGUUGGGGCACUGAUGUGCUGCCAUUUAGUGGGAUGAGGUGGGAGAAAGGUGGGGCCACCCCAUUGUGCCAGCCAUUCUAUAUUUGCUUUGCCAGUGUGCCUGUGCAGGCCCCUACUUUGCCACCUUCCUGUCCCGCCCUGUCCCAGUAAGCAACAGCAACCCUGCUGGUGGGAGGGUGGCAGUGCAGCAGUCCCCCAUUGCCCUGGAUGUUUCUGGUCCUUCAGUAAGCUUAACAAAGAGUGUUCAAAAUGUGUAGUAGUAGUAGUAGUAGUAGUAGUAGUAGUAGUAAUAAUAAUAAUAAUAAUAAUUUUAAAAAAAAAUUAUUUAUACCCCACCCUCCCCAGCCAAGGACGGGCUCAGGGCGGCUAACAAGCAAUAAUAAAAACAAGUUGAAUGACUACAACUUAAAAACAAGAUUAAAAUACAACAUUAAAAUAUUGAAACAAUAAAAUAUUAAAAUGUAGCCUCAUCACAGGAGGAGAAAGGAAAAAGGAAAAAGAAAGAGGGAGAGAGAAUCAAAUUGGCUCCAAGCCAAAGGCCAGGCGGAACAACUCUGUCUUACAGGCCCUGCAGAAAGAAAUCAGAUCCUGCAGGGCCCUGGUCUCAUGAGGAAGAGCUUUCCACCAGGCCAGAGCCAGUGUUGAAAAGGCCCUGGCUCUGGUUGAAGCUAAUCUAACUUCCUUAGGGCCCGGGACCACUAGGGUGUUGCUAUUUAUGGACCUUGAGGCUCUCCGUGGGGCAAACCGGGAGAGGCAGUCCCAUAGGUACGAGGGUCCUAGGCUGUGAAGGGCUUUAAAGGUCAAAAGCAGCACCUUAAAUCUGACCCUGUACUCCACCGGGAGCCAGUGUAGCUUGAAAAGCACUGGGUGAAUAUGCUCCCAUGGCAGAGACCCCGUGAGGAGCCUCGCUGCAGCAUUCUGCACCCGCUGCAGUUUCUGGGAUAGCUUCAAGGGCAGCCCCGUGUAGAGCGAAUUACAGUAGUCAAGCCUGGAGGUGACUGUCGCAUGGAUCACUGUGGCCAGGUCCAAAUGUGUACAACAUUUGGAGCAAAUAGAAAAGGCAAUGAAAUCUUCUUACUAUGAGGAAAUGAAAGCUAAGUCCCUGCUAGGACAUCUUCAACCAUGGUUUGAUAACCGGCUGUCCGAACUGCACUGCUUGUUUAAAAUCUAUAGUGGAAUCAGCAGUAAAAUGGCAGGAUAUCGCUCACAACCCUUUCAAUAUUUGCAAAUGAGAUGUACGCCUAAUUGGUUAGUGACAAAACAUGCUCAAUACAAGAGAUAAUAGGGUUUGAAAGCGUAAUUUCUAAAAGGCAGACACAAAAGCUAUUGAGCAAAUUACCGUAUUUUUUGCUCUAUAAGACUCACCUUUUCCCUCCUAAAAAGUAAGGGGGAAUGUGUGUGCGUCUUAUGGAGCGAAUGCAGGCUGUGCAGCUACCCCAGAAGCCAGAACAGCAAGAGAGAAUGCUGCUUUCACUGCACAGUGAUCCCUAUUGCUGUUCUGGCUUCUGAGAUUCAGAAUUUUUUCCCCCUUGUUUUCCUCCUCCAAAAACUAGGUGUGUCUUGUGGUCUGGUGCGUCUUAUAGAGCGAAAAAUACGGUAUAUGCUAUAAUACAGGCACUUCCAGGAACGCAUGCCAGAACAAGCGGGAUAUAGGGGAUUGGAAAUAGACCCAGAGGUAUCGAAAUGGCCGUGGGAACAUGUUUCCUAACGAACUUCAAGCACAAAUAUUUUCUUACGGCAUUUCUUCACCUUCAGGGGUUAACUGGGUAUACACAGAAACAAAAAUAUGCUUUGUUGUAUGCACCCCGAUCUCUGAGCAGUGAGAGACCAUGGGGGUUUGAGUCCUUACCUGGCGGUGUCUUUAGGACAUAUGAUUUUGUUUAAACGGAUACACAUCCAGAGCACAGAAUGGAAGGGUUCACACAUUAAUACUCUUUUACAAAUUCUGCCUUCCCAUCAGGUUCCCAGGGGAUCCCCACAGAGGCAGGUUGAGAGCAGCAUGACCCACUGAAUGCCUAGUCUAGCAGGCACUGCAGGGCCCUACAACUAUGACAACUAUGAAUUGAGCAAAACAGAAGAUGAGAGGCCUAUUGAUCUCAUCCUAGGAUGUCAUGACAUCCAGCCAGGUGAGAAAGUGGGGGAAAUGCCCACCCCCUUCUUGAAGAUCACCAUCACUUAGUUGUUGCUGUGGCAACACAUGGCCCACCCCUUUAGCCAUGCAAAUAGGGUCCUUAAAAAGGUAAAGGACCCCUGACAGUUAAGUCCAGUUGCGAACAACUCUGGGGUUGCGGCGCUCAUCUCACUUUACUGGCCGAGGUAGCCGACGUUUGUCCGCAGACAGUUUUUCCGGGUCAUGUGGCCAGCAUGACUAAGCCGCUUCUGGCGAAACCAGAGCAGCGCAUGGAAACACCGUUUACCUUCCCACCGGAGCAGUACCUAUUUAUCUACUUGCACUUUGACGUGCUUUCAAACUGCUAGGUUGGCAGGAGCUGGGACCGAGCAACAGGAGCUCACCCCGUCACAGGGAUUCGAACCGCCGACCUUCUGAUCAGCAAGCCCUAGGCUCAGUGGUUUAUACCACAGCGCCAUCCGCGUCCCAAUAGUCUUUAGCUGAGUGAUUAAUAAGGCCUUUAGUCAAAUAAAGGAACUGGUUGGGCUGGUUCAGCAUCUGAUGCUUUGAGAUUCUCAGUCCCAAGAAUGCAGAAGCACAUGCCUGGAAGGGUCCCAUGGUUAUCCUUCUGACUGAUCCCCCUGCACAGACAACCUAUAAUAGUUUUUAUGAGAUGCUGAAGAGCAUUUGGCAAUAUGGCCCGUAUAUUGUGGUCGUGCCCCAAACCCGUCUUUUGGGACAGUUACAAUGAACAAAACCAAAGGUAUAACAAUAUAUGAUAUGCCUGCCAGAUAGUAUUGCUGGAAGAUAGAGGAAUUGUAAUCCAUUUAUUAACAGCAGCACCUGUGAUCAUCAGUUUCAAAUAGAAAAAAGUAAGAACCACCCUAGAUUAUUGGAUUUUGAAGAGUUGGGAGUUAGUGAAUUUUGGAAGAUUAAUAUACUGUGGGUAAAGGAAUGUGUUUUUUAAAAAUGGAGUGUGUGAUGUAUUGUGAUAAUAGAAUGCGCUAGUGUGCUGUCAGUGUGUGUGCUUGAAUUAUAAAAAGAAAUAUGUGACCUUUCUUCAUUUUUUUAUGGUAUAAUGCAUUUAUGUGGUGAAAUAUAAGUCACUUGGAAACUUUUUUUAGGGAGCAAGUGAUUAAUAAGUAAUAACAACAAUAUAUUCAACCACAUACACCAUCGGGAACAUUAUAAAUAUGGUUUUCAGGAAGAAUUUCUUAGUAAUUGUAGAAGGGAAUGUAAAAAGACAAGUAAAAAGUUUAUAGGGGUUUAUAGAUUUAUAGGGAGCCAUUGAUUUUGAUUUGAGGCCUGCACCUUAAAGAAACCCAACUUAUCAUCUCGGACCCCUAAAAUUAAUCUGCAGUAUUCCUAGAUCACCCAGGCAUGCUCUUCUGCAUGUAAUUGUGUGAUUAUAAAAAGUUUAUAACAAAUUAAAACUUUAAAAAUAUAUGAUUAACAAAAACCAAUUUUUAAAUAUGUUUUAGGCAUGGGUUUCAUAAAGUAUAGGUAAAGGUAAAGGGACCCCUGACCAUUAGGUCCAGUCAUGACUGACUCUGGGCUUGCAGCACUCAUCUCGCUUUAUUGGCCGAGGGAGCCGGCGUACAUCUUCCGGGUCAUGUGGCCAGCAUGACUAAGCCGCUUCUGGUGAACCAGAGCAGCGCACGGAAACGCCAUUUACCUUCCCGCUGGAGCGGUACCUAUUUAUCUACUUGCACUUUGACGUGCUUUUGAACUGCUAGGUUGGCAGGAGCAGGGACCAAGCAAUGGCAGCUCACCCCGUCGUGGGGAUUCGAACUCCCGACCUUCUGAUUGGCAAGUCCUAGGCUCUGUGGUUUAACCCACAGCACCACCUGCGUCCCUUUCAUAAAGUAUACAGCCACCUUAAAGGUUGCUUCUCUGUCAUACCCAAUAUGCAGACAAAAAGAAAAGGUGCAGAAGAAAAAGAAAAGAAGGAAAAAAAGAGAGGAAGAAAUAAUGAGGAAGGAUGGAAGAAACAAAGGGAGAGAUAGGGCAGCCAUAUCAAAUAUUCUGAUAUCACCAGGGCUUUUUUUCAGCCGGAACUCACUGGAACUGAGUUCUGGUGCCUCUCAGAUGGGUGCCCUUGCCAUUAUAAGAGAACAAGGGUGGCGUUCAUGGUGAGUUCUGGCACCUCUUUUUCUAGAAAAAUAGCUCAGGAUGCAACUGAGUGUAAUUUGAUGCCAAUAGGGCACAUGUAUAAAUUGUGCCAAACCAAAUUUUCAGUCUCUUUCCUUUGUAAAUUAUGUAAUCUGAAUGAAAGGUGAAUGCUGGAAAAUCUGCCUGUUGUGUAAGUGGCUUAUUUUUUUCUUUCUUUUGCCAGGCAAAAGGAAGAGAAAGUCAACUGCACACAAGUCACUGUGACCUCGCUCUCUGAGUAAUGAAGGUCAUAAUCCCCGCCCUCCAGCCUGGGUUCUGGGAUCUCAUCCAGAGACUUCUUAAAAGUUUUUUAUGUGAUGGCUAGGAACUUACUCAUUUCUUUAUCCUUUGAUUAAUUUGAAACUUCAGAAAACUUGCUCCGUUAACAAUUUGAUAUAUGAAACGAGGAGGAAGCUGAGGUUUUGAGAAUGCUUUUGAUUUCUGUGUCGAGUUGUGUGCUAACAACAGACACAUGGAGGACAUACAGUCCUUUGAUCUAGGUGCUGCUCUGUGGUUUUGCUGCAUUGGUGCUAGAUAGGACAUACAGUGGUACCUCGGGUUAUAUACACUUCAGGUUACAUAUGCUUCAGGUUACAUACGAUUCAGGUUACAGACACCGCUAACCCAGAAAUACUACCUCGGGUUAAGAACUUUGCUUCAGGAUGAGAACAGAAAUUGUGCUCUGGCGGCACGGCAGCAGCGGGAGGCGCCAUUAAGCUAAAGUGGUGCUUCAGGUUAAGAACAGUUUCAGAUUAAGAAAGGACCUCUGGAACGAAUUCAGUUCUUAACCCGAGGUACCACUGUAUCAAUAGGUGAGACAAAAUACUGCAAUUGCUUAUCUUCUGUUGGUGGGGGGAAAAGCAUGCAAAGUUUUGAAUUUGCAUGGCGGGCUUUUCCUCAGGCCAGAGUUAAAAUAUUCCUGCAUUCACUUUCAUGCGCUGACACCUUCCACAACACUCAUUUAAACAACAGCAACAAAUUUAAAAUAAAGAUCUGUGUGAUUAUAUAAUUUGCCUGAGGGGCACCGAAGCCAUGUGAGUCGGUCGCAGCAAAAAACCAACAAAGGAUAUUGCAGUACUAAUAAAUACAAGAUGGCGUGAACCUUUGCGUUACUAUGGCAUGAAUUUCUGUGGGUUCUGGUAUCCUUCUUCAUGAGAUGCAUCUCACUCAAAGUGCGCAUGCCCUUCAGAAAGGGUUCAUUGUUGAUUUGGCUUCUCACAAGCAGUGGAAAUGGCUACUCUAAAACAAAACAAAAACACCCCCAAUCUGUGUUUGUAUUUUGCAUGGUGGCUAAGGGAGCCAAACUGGUUUCGAAACCUUUUGAAAUGCCCAUUUUCAUAUGGCUCCCAGUUGUUUGCAUGGGAUGAGAGUGUGGACAGACUUCCAUUGUGUCAGACCAAUGUAACAGCUGCUUCAUAUUAUUUUGUUGGUGGAUGUUACAGGCCUCCUGGACACUGUUCCGAAUGCCAAGGCACAGCUAGGGUGUGCUGGGAUAAGAGGGCUGCUCCUAAGCAUGUUCAGAGUGCCUUUUCCAGGAACCCGUCCCAGUCCCACCCCCACACAUCUGUGACCAGGAGGGGUGACUUCUCAGGGCAGCUUUUUGAUUUAUUAUUUAAAAGAGCAUGGUUAAAAACAAACACACUAUGUUGCAGUUUCUUUUAAUUUCAAAGAAAAAAACUAUAUAACGGGAGCAUUGCAGACAUUCCAUAUAUACUGAGUCAUGGUUUUUGUUUUUUUUAAACGCAGGAAUUCUGUAUCCACUUACACGGGAGUAAGCCGCAUUGAACUCAGUAGGACUUCUGAGUAGAGGUGCAUAGGAUGGCAUUGUUAAAAAAAAAAACUUAUGGGGUUUUUAAAAAUAAAAUGUGCUACCCAAUCCAUACUUCCAGUUGAGAAUAAACUGUUUCUUUGAACAUAGUGAAUGAACAGGCAUAACUAAGAUUGCUGUGUUUCACACACAAAACUCUUGUGUUAUUUUGGAAGAAAUGACCAACUUGGUUUUCAACUUGCAGUUGUUGGGGCAAUUAUUCUGUGUCCUCGUUCUGUCUCCAGCAUGGAUGGGCGGGUGAGAUUCAUGUUAAGGCGCAGCAUAACUAAACUGUUAUUAAUUGAUUUUGUUUUAUGUGCCCUCCGGGGGGAUUAUUGCGGGGUAACAAACCGCAAACGGGGUGUGGGGGGUGUGGCGGAUGAAUGGGAGAGGAAUGAAUUAGCGCAUCCUGGGAGAAUGCGGGGGGGGGCGUGUGUUCAGAGGUGCCCCCUUCAGCCUCCUUCCUCUUCUUCGCAGUCUGACCCAAUGCACGCUUGUACAGACUGAGCACCCCCCCUCAAAAAAGGAAAAAAAAGAGUGCAAACCCCCCCUCAAAAAAAAAAGAGGAAAAAAAUAGUGCAUUGGCACGCAGGCGCGCAGCUCGGACCUGUGCGCUCUUACUCGAGAGCAAGCGAGUCCAGCGGUGCUGGUGAGGUGACUCUCCGGGAACAGGUUAGUAGCAUUUCAACCCCAUCCUAUGAAGCAAGCGCCCUUCCCCAAGUUCAGUAAGGCUCUGCAAAGUGUGUCCCAGUAGGGUUUACUCAUGAGCAAAGUGUGUUGGAGAUGGCAGUCUGGGUAGACUCGCUUGCUCUAGCAUCUUCAUCUUACUAUAAUUUUUUUUAACUCCUCAGUCUUGCUGGAGGGGAAAAAAAAGAAAUAAAGGGAGCACUCCGUGCUUUAUUUUUUAACGCAAGGCGGUUAAUAAAUUUGCAAAGUGCCUCUUUUUUCCCUCUCUCUUUCUCUCUCUCCCCACCCUCUCCUUUUCCUCCUCCAGGCUCUGGUUUUUCUGCGCCCGCCUCCCUCCUCAGCUGAUUUCUUUUUUUUCCUCCCCCUCUCCUUUCCCACAGUAGCUUCUAAUCCAGACUGUAUGGUAUGUGGGCUGGUCACAAAUCCCCAUGUGGUCCGACAUCAUUGACAUGGCGGAAUCCCCCACCAAACCCUACUGGUAGUUAUUCCAGCUCGCUCGCCUGCCCGCCCAGCCACACAGCCCGGGGAUUUACCGGACUUGCCCGCCCGCCUCCCUCUUCCGAAGAACGAGCAGGGCCAUUCUCUCCAAGACAGCACCCCCGAGCCCCCGUUUCCAACACAAGGUAAGCGAAAAGGCUGCUCUUAUUAGGCGUCUUUCUCUCCUUCCCACCCCCCCCGUAUCAACCCCCCCAGGCUAGAAAAUGCCAGGCGAGAGGCGAAUUUCCCUCCCCUCCCGCCCCGGUUUGCAAAUGCAAAUAAAAGAUUCGCUCCGGGGCUUGUAUUCUGAUUGCAAUUAAAAAAAUAAAGACGCCGAGUUUAAUAUAACUCGGAAAUACUGGAGCUUCUCUCACCCCCCCCCCCAACACCUCUCUGCCUUUUACUACUCCGAGUGGGUUUUGCUACGGCCCCCCCCCCACGCCUCUUCCCAAUCCGGAUUCCUUUUGUUUCCGAAGUGGAAACUCCCCGAGUGUGAACGGUGUGUGUGCUCAAAAGGAUGCGUCUAGCCUGGGCUUGCCUUGGGGGUCGGGAUCGGGAAGGCGGUGGGGAGUAAAGUGGGAGGGGGGGCAAAGGCUCCCUGGAAAGAAGGGGCAAUGAGGGAUCUCCGGAAAGUUUUGGGUUUUCUCUCUUUCCAGUUUGCUCCUUGCCCGGCGCCUUUAGGAUCUCUCCGAUCCGUGCGCCCCUCUCUCCCUCGCCGCCUCAUUGCCCAAUUACUCCUCGUUUAAGUUACACCACUAUUUUUUCCAGUACUUUCGGGUCCUUGCCUACGCAAACUCUCUGGAAGGAGCAACUAGGGACUCACGGCUUGCUCAGUUCUUUUUUUUUUAGGGGAAUGGACAUAAAUGUUUGCUGGGGUGGGGGAAACAGAAGAAGAGAAUGCGAAGUAGACUCUUUUUUUGGAGAGGGGGAAAAAAGAAUGCGUUUCUCUCCGGGUGCUCUCGGUUGGGCACCGAUUUCCUCGCCGUUGCAAAUUCAGAGUGGCAGGAGAAGUCCAUUCCUUCUCUCGCUCCCCCCCCCCGCCCAUUUCCUGGAAUUUGGCUUGGGAACGAGGCCUUGGAUGCAAAGGGUUAGCGGCGGAGACGCGGGCGCCUGAUAUAUAUAUUUUGUGGGUCUGGUGGCGUGGAAUGGAGGAGGGAAGAAAACGGUUUGCUGCUGGUGCCGGAGCCCAUCUGUAAGGGAGCCAGCCUGAGUGCUAGAGCUGCAAUACGAUUUCGUGUGUGUGUGUGUGCAUUUUUAUUUUUUUUGCGGGGAAGGCGAGAGAGGGAGACAGACACACCAUCAUAACCUAGCAAUCCAGACAGGCUCCUCGCCGCUGCCUUUUCUGCCCGGCUGCCCGCCCUUUUGCUUGGGCGCACUUCCUAUCGUGUGCUUUAAACAGGGGCUUCCAUCUCCGGCCUCCCGGCUUGCCCUCAAUCCACAUCAAACUUAAAGGAUCGCAUUAUUUAAUAUAUAUAUAUAUAUUUAAAAGCAACAAAGCAACGCAGGUUUCAGUGC